AGUAUCCUCUCAGACACACUAACUUUCAUUUAUAAAUGCUAAAUGUUAGAAACUUCUGGCACACUUAGUACUUUACUAGCAAGUAGCCCUUUGUGUAUGUUAAGAUGAAGAUACAUAGCAUUGACCUUCAUUAUCUUUCAGGACCUGGAGAAAGGUGUUCUUUUUGCAUGUGUACACAGUCAUUGUGAGAAUUGCUAACUUAGAGAUAUGUAUGGAGAAGAUAUCAUGGAAGGAGGUGGGGAAAACUACCCAGCUACCUAAGUAAUGUGAGGAGGUUUCUUGGAUUGGUGCUCUUUGAACUGGGUUAUAAACAUGCGCAGGAAUUUAGUAGGGCUGAGGAUAGCAGUAGGGCACUUCAAGUGAAGGAAACAGAAUACACGGAGGGAUAGAAUGGUCUAUAGGUUCUCAGUCCUUAACUAGCCAUUCUGAAAUCCCAAAACCUUUAAAAAGGAAAGGUUUUUCUUUUUUUUUUUUCUUUUUGUUUUGUUUUUAUUUUUGUUUUCUAGGGCCACAGCUGGGGCAUAUGGAAGUUCCCAGGCUAAUGGUUGAAUAGGACCUGUAGCCAUCAGCCUGUGCCACAGCCACAGCAAUGCUGGGAUCCAAGCCUCGUCUGCAACCUACACCACAACGCCAGAUUCUUAACCCAAUGAGUGAGGCCAGGGAUCAAACCCACAUCCUCAUGGACACUUGUCAGUUUCGUCACUGCUGAGCCACAAUGGGAACUCCUAAAAACUGAAGGUUUUUAAUUCAUUUGACAACAAAAUUGACCUGAAGUGAUGUGAGGCUAUGUGUGGUUUCUCUUUAUCGCCAUUAGUAUUAAUAUUCACAUAUUUAGUUGUAGAAAUAUUAAUGUUUUUAUGUUUUGUGUUUAAUGUUUUUAUAGGGUGUAUCACCAUACUACAUUGAAAGUUUUAUAUAAUAGAUGCUAUAUGCACUUAUAAUACUUUUAUAAAAUCUGAAAAUUUCUGAAUUCCAAACAUUUGGCCCUGAGAAUUUCAGGUAAGGGAUUGCAUAACUUUGGGCAGCUAGAGAAUUUCAUUAUGGUUUGGGGAAAAAGUGACAUUUGGGGGUGUGGUGGGUGAUUGAUAAUGAGAGUGAGAAUUAGAAAAUUAAGGAAGAAUCAUUUGAAUGCCUUGAAUUCUCUAAGAAUUUCACAGAGAAUUAUAUAUGUCAUAUGUCAGACUUACCUGUACAUUGCUCUGUGUAUUAGUUUCAUAGGGUUGCCAUCACAAAGUACCACAUACUGAGUGGCUGUUUAUAAAUAGAAGCUUAUUGUCUCCUAGUUCUAGAGGCCAGAAGUCUGAAAUCAAGAUGUUAGUAGGAUUAGUCCCUUCUGAGAGCUGUGAGAGAGGAGCUAUUCCAAAACCUGGAAGUUAAUUAUUAUUGUUCUCAUUUCUAUGGAUGACUCAGAGAGGGCCAGUUAACAUCUCUAAGGUUACACAGUAAAUAGUAGCGGACUUAGAAUUCAGUCUUUGGCUCUUCUACCUCUAUAGACAAAGCUUUGGGUUUUUGCCUUGUAUUGGAAAAUGGUUAAACCCAAAAGAGGAAUCCAUCCCUUGGAACUACCUCAGGAUGGUACAUAAAACCUCGCUUCCCCCUUUUGCUGCUCACAUGACUGUGGAUUUUUGAAAGUUGUAGGGGUGUAUGUGUCAGAUGGGUAGGAUCUGCCAUCUCUGGUGUUAUACACUGUCAGCUCUGAUUCAAAAAGGCACUCUACAAAGCAGUGUAUCAAGAUUUGCAAUUCCAAGAGUUCCGUUAUGGCCUAGUAGGUUAAGGAUCUGGCAUUGUCACUGCAGUGGUUCAGGUUGAUGCUGUGUCAUGGGUUUGGCACAGCCAAAAAAAAAAAAAAAAAAAA
rnacentral:lncRNA from 1 species